UUAUCACACCCCCUCAUUCCCCUCGCUCUCAUCCUCCUCCUCCACAUCCGAACAAAUCGUCUUUUCCUAGGUCGUAUCCUCUUCUCCCCUCGCUCAAACCCCCUCGCUCUCCUCCUCCUCCUGCGUCGCCUCAACCGAUGAGCUAGGGUUCCGGCGGCCAGAGUUCGGCCGCGAGGAUCUCGCGGGGACCGUCGCCGGAGGAGUAAGCUCCAAACGUCGAGGCGAUGACGGUGGUGGGGAAGCAGGAGUCCGGCGACUUGGUUGUGCUCGCGGCGGCGUCGAAGGCGUGGAAGGGGUAGACAGAGAGAAGGAUUUAGUGAAGAUCCUUCGGAUCCGUUGGUUGUCAGAACAAAGAAUCUGGUGAUAUUUUCAUGUGUUUUCAGAGGAGUUCAAUGUUUUGUAACUGUGAAGUCCUCAUAAUUCUGAUUCUCAGCAUAGAAGAUCUUCAAGGUUUCUGUCGAGCUAAACCAUAAGAUAAUUAUGGCUAUUGAGAGAAAGAAAGCUGUGCUAUAUAUUGGAAAAGUUCUGAGAUUUUCCAUCAGAUUAAGCUACUGAUCCGUUUGCGAUCAUCCCAUUUCUUUCAGUAUAGGCUUUUUGCUAUUUUUAUUGUACAGAUCUUUUCCUUCUUUAUUCUAUUUUAUGCUUUCUUCUUCUCCCGUAAUUGUAUGCACUCUUCUUCUCGGAGUCCUUUUAAGUAGUGCUUUUAAUUUAUUAUGAUGUAUUGUUCUUGAAUUUGUGUAUCUUUUCUUUCCUCUAUUAUCUAUUGUUGAUGAUGUGCAUAAAGGUGUGGAUGUGUAUUUCUGUACAAAUGAAUGCUAGAGAUACUAAUUCAUAGCUCCUAAAGAUGUUGACAGAGCCAUUGAUUUUACGGCCUAAUUAUUAGGAUGAAGCAUUAGAUAGAUGAAUUGUUUUUGCAUUCAUUAUUCAAUGGGUAAAUUGCAAUUUCUCCUAAGAAUUUGGUUCCUGAAGAUACUUUAAUAAGCUUGUGUAUAAGACUCUUUUUGUUACACUUUUGUUAUUGCAGCUUGUGAGUCCCGGUGCAUGGUUAUGCGACCUACCUCUAGAAAGAUAUGAAGUCCGCGAAAAGAAGAUUUCUAAAAAGGUUUCAGACGCAUCUAGCGCUCGUAAUAUUCAUCCACAACCUCAUUGCCCUUCAGGUUCAGCAUCUUAAUUGCCGAGAUCACUACGACUGGAUCUGAUAUGAUAUUAUUAGCUUUUGUUUUCAAUUCUCUUUCUCUUGGGUUGAAAAGCUAGAAAUUGUUGGUACUCGUUUAAAGAUAUAUGGAUAAUAUCUUGAGACAUUUUGGUAUUAAUUAGUGUAACUACAAAACUUCUUUUAUAUGAUUUCUUUGUUAAUGCAAAUCAGGGCGAAUAAAAUUAAAGAUAUGCUUAAUGAUAA